GACGAACCGUGCGAACGUUGUUCGGAAUCACUGGGCUUAAAGGGCGCGUAGGCGGUCGGCCGCGUCCGGGGUGAAAUCCCACGGCUCAACCGUGGAACGGCCUCGGAUACGGGCGGCCUCGAGGGGGGUAGGGGCAUCUGGAACUGUGAGUGGAGCGGUGAAAUGCGUUGAUAUUCACAGGAACUCCGGUGGCGAAGGCGAGGUGCUGGACCCCAUCUGACGCUGAGGCGCGAAAGCGUGGGGAGCAAACAGG
rnacentral:rRNA from 1 species